UAUGAAGAACGCAGCGAAAUGCGAUACUUGGUGUGAAUUGCAGAAUCCCGUGAACCAUCGAGUCUUUGAACGCAAGUUGCGCCUCAAGCCAUUAGGUUGAGGGCACGUCUGCCUGGGCGUCACAUAUCGUUGCCUGAUGCCAGUUUCCUCGUGUUGGGUGACUGUGCAGGGCGAAUGAUGGCUUCCCGUGAGCAUUGUUGCCUCAUGGUUGGUUGAAAAUUGAGUCCUUGGUAGGGAGCGCCGUGAUAGAUGGUGGUUGAGUGACGAACGAGACCCAAUCAUGUGAGACCCCUACCGAAUUUGGCCUUCAUGACCCACAUGCGUCUUUGGAACGCUCAUGACGAGACCUCAGGUCAGGCGGGGCUACCCGCUGAGUUUAAGCAUAUCAAUAAGCGGAGGA
rnacentral:misc_RNA from 1 species